rnacentral:rRNA from 1 species
AACGCUAGCGGAGGCUUAACACAUGCAAGUCGAGGGGUAAGGCACUUUCGGGUGUACACGACCGGCGCACGGGUGCGUAACGCGUAUGCAACCUACCUGUAACAUAGGGAUAGCCCGAAGAAAUUCGGAUUAAUACCUUAUAUGUUUAUUCAUAGGCAUCUAUGGAUAAAUAAAGUUACGAUGGUUACAGAUGGGCAUGCGUGCGCAUUAGUUAGUUGGUGAGGUAACGGCUCACCAAGACGAUGAUGUCUAGGGGGUCUUAAAGGAUGGUCCCCCACACUGGUACUGAGACACGGACCAGACUCCUACGGGAGGCAGCAGUGAGGAAUAUUGGUCAAUGGACGAAAGUCUGAACCAGCCAUGCCGCGUGCAGGAUGACAGCCCUACGGGUCGUAAACUGCUUUUAUAUACCAAGAAACGCUUCUACGUGUAGAGGUUUGACGGUAGUAUAUGAAUAAGGAUCGGCUAACUCCGUGCCAGCAGCCGCGGUAAUACGGAGGAUGCAAGCGUUAUCCGGAUUUAUUAGGUUUAAAGGGUGCGUAGGCUGAAAAUUAAGUCAGUGGUGAAAUCUUGUAGCUUAACUACAAAACUGCCAUUGAUACUGGUUUUCUUGAGUAUAGUUGAGGUAGGCGGAAUGUGUAGUGUAGCGGUGAAAUGCAUAGAUAUUACACAGAACACCAAUUGCGAAGGCAGCUUACUAAACUAUAACUGACGCUGAUGCACGAAAGCGUGGGUAGCGAACAGGAUUAGAUACCCUGGUAGUCCACGCCGUAAACGAUGAUUACUCGUUGCAUGCAAUACACCGUAUGUGACUUAGCGAAAGCAUUAAGUAAUCCACCUGGGGAGUACGUUGGCAACAAUGAAACUCAAAGGAAUUGACGGGGGCCCGCACAAGCGGAGGAACAUGUGGUUUAAUUCGAUGAUACGCGAGGAACCUUACCUGGACUUAAAUGUAGCGUGACCGUACCUGAAAGGGUAUUUCUCUUCGGAGCAGGUUACAAGGUGCUGCAUGGCUGUCGUCAGCUCGUGCCGUGAGGUGUCGGGUUAAGUCCCAUAACGAGCGCAACCCCUAUUGUUAGUUGCCAGCGGAUAAUGCCGGGGACUCUAACGAGACUGCCACCGUAAGGUGUGAGGAAGGUGGGGAUGACGUCAAGUCAGCACGGCCCUUAUGUCCAGGGCUACACACGUGCUACAAUGGUAUCUACAAAGGGCAGCUUACUGGUGACAGGAUGCUAAUCUCAAAAACCGAUCUCAGUUCGGAUCGAAGUCUGCAACUCGACUUCGUGAAGUUGGAUUCGCUAGUAAUCGUAUAUCAGCAACGAUACGGUGAAUACGUUCCCGGGCCUUGUACACACCGCCCGUCAAGCCAUGGAAGCUGGGGGUACCUGAAGUCCGUAACCGCAAGGAUCGGCC